GGGCGGAUGGUUUAGUGGUAUAAUACUCCCUUAGCAUGGUAUCUGGGAGUGGUCCGGGGUUCGAUUCCCCGUCUGUCCA
rnacentral:tRNA from 1 species